GGUCCGAUUGGAGAAGAUUGCUGGAAGAGGCCAAAACCAAUAGUAGGUUGUAGUGCCCGCCUAAGUAAUCACGCAUCGACA